UAGAGCGUUAAAGUUUUGCGAAGCCAGGGGGCGGGGCUACUUGAUUGACAGUCCGGUCUGGAAUGAUUGACAGGUCCUAUGGAGGAGGCAGCAGAGACUCUGCUCUCCUCGUUUGGAUUAAUUCUGAUAUAAUAACUGUUGGUUUAUUUAUCAGUGAAGCAGCAGAACAUUUUCCACAGACAGUUUUCCUGCCCGUUGGCUUGUUUUAACCAGUUUUCUACCUUCGGCUGAUUCUACCAGCAGACACUGAAAGGACUCUUAUAGUUCGAGUGAAAGUAGCAGUUCCUCCUGAAGGUCAGAGAUUGCAGCAUCUGAGGGCCUCUUCAAAAGAAGACGUAGUUGAUGAAGGCGUUCUGGAGCAGGACCAGAAAGACCACGACCAAGCAGCCUUGAGAUCUUAGGCAGUGUCUCCCUCAGGUCCCUCUCUAUCUCCCUACAUGUCCACCAACCACUGGAACACAUCUCCAAAGUUCUGCUGGGCCAGCUCAGCUUCCCCUCAGAAGAAGUGCCGCCACCUGCCAGAUGAAGGAGCCUUUUGAGAGGCAGCUGGCAUCGUGAUUGGACUGUACUUUGGUCUGUUCCAAUCCAGCUUCAGCUCCAGAGACGGCAGGCGGGACGAGUCAACGGAGGCCGGGUGGACGAAGGCAUGCAGCUGAGUACAAUCCAGAAAACAACAGAGGAGGAGUGCAGGGCCAGAACAAGCAGAGUAGCAUCGUAUGUCUCUUAGAAAACAUCAUAGUAUAGCCUUUGGUAUGAAAAAACGCCAUCAUAUACAUCGUAUAUUGUACAAAUAACAAGUCAAAGCAAAGAGACAUACAUUGUAGAAUUAUAGUAAUUGUGGGCUGACUGAUUUACUGA